rnacentral:rRNA from 1 species
UACCAGCACCCCGAGUGGUCGGGACGUUUAUUGGGCCUAAAGCAUCCGUAGCCGGUUCUACAAGUCUUCCGUUAAAUCCAGCUGCUUAACAGAUGGGCUGCGGAAGAUACUAUGGAGCUAGGAGGCGGGAGAGGCAAGCGGUACUCGAUGGGUAGGGGUAAAAUCCGUUGAUCCAUUGAAGAACCACCAGUGGCGAAGGCGGCU